AACAUUACCUGUCAGGGGAGAUUCUAUGACCAUGAAGGUGGUUUUCCCAGGGUGAGGCUCACCCAUUGCCCUCCAGUUGUGCUGACCCCUGUGAUUUCCCCAAAUGUGGGAAAUUCAACUGCAUGAUUUGCGGUAGUGGGGGACUGCAUUUGUACUCUUCCCUG